rnacentral:RNase_P_RNA from 1 species
GUGGAAAGUCCCCCCACCUCUGGACACACAGGCAUCGAGAUGAUGCGGGGCGAGAGCUCCGGCUCUGGCACAGAAACGGGACUGCGCCGUGAUAAUGCGAUGAUGCCGAAAGGCGGAGGUCUCACGGAAUGCAGAUGAAACGGCGAAACCCUGUGGGUGCAAGCCAAAAUAGGGCAGCUCUGGGGGUGUCCAGCCCCUUGCCCGGGUAUGGCGCUAAGCUGAAUGCCGCCGAAACAGAA